GGGGCAGCGACCCAGGUGCCCAGCACUGGGCGAGACAGGACGCCCUGCAGGCGGCAGCGACCCAGGUGCCCAGCACUGGGCGAGACAGGACGCCCUGCAGGCGGCAGCGACCCAGGUGCCCAGCACUGGGCGAGACAGGACGCCCUGCAGACGGCAGCGACCCAGGUGCCCAGCACUGGGCGAGACAGGACGCCCUGCAGACGGCAGCGACCCCAGGUGCGUCAGGAGCAUGGCCACUAGGAGUGACGGGGCCCCACAGCAGCCCCAGAGGCCCGGUGUGCAGAGACCACUCUUGGCUCUCCUCUCAAUGUGCUGGCUGAACACUGACCAUGUGCCAUGGGGAGGCCACAGGUGACCACGCACACCGGCCCAGGGCUCAGG